rnacentral:rRNA from 1 species
AUUGAACGCUGGCGGCAGGCUUAAUACAUGCAAGUCGAGGGGUAGCAAGAUUGUAGCAAUACAAUUGUUGACGACCGGCAAACGGGUGCGGAACACGUACACAACCUUCCUACAAGUGGGGAAUAGCCCAGAGAAAUUUGGAUUAAUACCCCGUAACAUAGCGAUGUGGCAUCACAUUGCUAUUAUAGCUUCGGCGCUUGUUGAUGGGUGUGCGGCUGAUUAGAUAGUUGGCGGGGUAACGGCCCACCAAGUCUACGAUCAGUAGCUGAUGUGAGAGCAUGAUCAGCCACACGGGCACUGAGACACGGGCCCGACUCCUACGGGAGGCAGCAGUAAGGAAUACUGGACAAUGGACGCAAGUCUGAUCCAGCCAUGCCGCGUGAAGGAUUAAGGUCCUCUGGAUUGUAAACUUCUUUUAUAAGGGACGAAAAAAGGUCUUUCUAGAUCGUCUGACGGUACCUUAUGAAUAAGCACCGGCUAACUCCGUGCCAGCCGCCGCAGUAAUAC